UCUACUUGAGUGUACCGAGUCAGGCUCCGUAGGACAGCGAAGUGCUGGGAGUUGCCACAGGGAUUAUAGAUGCGUGUCCGCGUGGGCAUUUUCUUGUUUUCCUGGUGUGGCAGCACUGGCAGCACCUGGGACUUGUUAGAUAUGCAAAUUCUCGGGCUCCCUCAGAUGUUCUAAACUAGAUGGACGGACCCCAGCAAUUUGUGCUUUAACAAGGUAUCCGGGUGAUGCCGAGGACUGCUGCUGUAGGAGGGGCUCAGGGGGAAGAAAGCGGAGAAAGUGGAGCUGGGGCCUCUUUGGGCUGCAGGAGGACUCUGAGAAGGUUGGCAAGCCGUGUCCUGGUUUAUCUGGAUUGCUGGCUUGAAGGGCCUCUGAGGCAUCCUCCCAUCGAAUUCUGCUUCCUGGAAGGGGAAUCCCAUCAGCAGGAGGAGCCUUGGGCAGCAAGGGGUGAGAUACCACUAUGAGAAGACUUACAAGAAAUGGAUGAGGAGGCAUCCACCAUCCAGGCCUUGCAGCAAGACCCACUCACCCAAUGACUCCCGUUCCCAGAGCUUCUGCACGUCUCUCCUUGCCGAGCCGCUGUGGAGGCAGCCAGCCACCGCGUGGCGGGAAACCCAAAUCGCAGCUUCCAAUGGCGCAGGGUCCAGCCUCAGCAGCGAGACUUUUCUGUUCCUGUUUUAGCACCAGGACUGCAUUCCAAGUUGGUUUCUCUCAGCCGAGUUCGUUCCUGAGUCAGCAGAGCAUAACUCCACCUGCUUAUGUCUCUUUAGUCCGCACCAUACCUGGCUUCUGAGCCUCGUUUUCAGAGAGCCUCCGGUAGUUGCUGUUAUCUGUCCGCCAUGUUCUCCCGGAAG